rnacentral:lncRNA from 1 species
AUCCAUGUCAUUAUAUGUGCUUAUUUUGUGCCUAAAAUACUCUAUUCAAUUUCUAUGCCAUUAAAAUAUCUUUAAGAUUCAGUUUAAAUCUAUCUUUUUUCCCCCUGUGAAGCCUCUGCACCAUUCCUCAAUCCACCCUUCCUUAUCACACCUGAAAGAUGACUAAAUCUUUGUAUAAUACCUCUACUAUAGCUGUUAUCACACUGUGCAGUUGUCUGCAUUUAGUGGCAGCCAAAGAAUUCCUUGUAGACUAAAACUCAUUUUUGUUCAGUUUUGUCUUUGGUGCCUAACAAAUAUUUGUUUGGUGAAAGCAAGACUGCAUAGUAUAAAGGAAGUGGCUUUAAGAAAUUAACUAUAGAUUUUAAGAAUCUCAAUAAAGUGAUGCCCAUUUAUAUCUCAUCACCCAAUGUCCCUUUUACAAGAAUAAUAAUAUGAUUCUUGCAAGGAAAAACUGAUGUUAAACUUUUGUCCAUUUUUAUGUCAUUAUUAUCAAAACAAACCACAGAGAAUAAAUCAUAAUUAUAUUCCCAAGAUAACAUUCAAUAUAACACAUAGAUGAUAGAAUGAUAGGUAUCUAGAUGGAUAAAGUAUGCAAAAAGUAAGGCAGUAAAUAUUCGAUCUCUAACACACCCCUAAAUAACAAAAAUUUCAAAAAAUACUGACUCAUAUUUCAUGUAAAUGUAAACAGAAAUAAUAUAAUGAGUAUGGCUUUAUAUUAAGUAAACUUUCCUCUGCACCAACUUUAAACUUGUGUUAUCUUAAUGGGUCCAAAUAUUGUAUACCUUUAAAAUUUCAUCUUUGGAACAAAACUGACUAAAUUCAUCAUAAAUCUUCUGUAAAUUGUAACACAGUAGUUUUAAUUUUGUAGAAGUUGCAAAAGAAUAAUGUAAAUAAUCAUGUUUCAUUCAGCUUAGUAUUGUAUAGUUUAUGUAUCAAUAUCUCUUCCUUGAAUUUAAACUUCUUGAUCUUACCCCUCCAUAUAAAUUUCCCUAGGAGUCACCCAAUAUCUUGCACAUAAUAGAUACUAAUAUAUUUUAACAAAAAUCAGCUAUAGAAAAAAAUGAAAAUUGAGAGAAAAAAUAUAAGUAUCUUGAAAACAAAUUAAAAAAUUACUUUGUGGGUUCUCUUCUGCCAAAUAAAAGCUACCAUAUGUCUCAAUAGAGCCCUACAAUGGUUUCAUCAUCUCUGCCCUUCACCAAAAAGCCUUCAUUUAUAGAGCAUUAAGCUCUUCUGAGUAUUACAUUAUAAACCUACAACUAUAGUAUAGAAAACUGCUGUGUCUUGUGGUCUGAUAAUAUCUUUGCAGAAGAACAACACAGCCUGGUAAUCAGGAAAAAUCACAAAUCUUUCUGGGAAUAAAAAGAAGGAAAAUGUUUCAUAUUAAUUCUUGAGAAAACAUGACUCAGUGCAGUUCUAAGUUUAUGUAAUCUAAAUGUGUCUAGGAAAUACAGAUUGUUAUAUGGUAAAAGCAGAUUGUUACAUAGAAAAGCAACAGAAAGUUGGAUAAGGCAAGUCUAUCCAUCAUUAUCUAUGUGACCUCGCACAUAAACCUUCAUUUCUCAGGUCCAGUUUCCUUUUCCAUGGAUAUCUACCUCACAGAGUUUUCAUAGGAAACAAAUGAGAUAAUGCAUAUUAAACUCGUGUGAACUCUAAACUAGAAUACUUAUAAGCUAUUAUUAUAUUGUGUUUUAUAAUUUCCUCAUAAACACAGACACACAGUAUUAACAGAGAAUUGAAAUAUAUCCAUUGUAUGAGAAUAUGCGCAUUCUACAAGUAGCACCAUGUCCUAACAGAUUGCUGUCACAUUGCAUUUGUAUCUGUAAGCAUUAGUGCCAUUUUUACAUACCUGUUAAGCAAUCUUCUGUUAUUACUUUGCAACACAUCAUUUAUAUCUCUCUCUUUACUAACAUAGACCAUUAUCUUGCCAUUCAGCAAUGACAGAUUAUUCAUCCAAGAUUCUAAAUAAUACCUUCUUGAUAUAAGGGUAUGGGGGGGGUGGCCAAGAAACAACUUUGCUUCCUUGUUUUUUUAAACAGAUAUAGUUUUCAUUUGCCUUGGAUUCAGUGCAUGAUAAAAAGGGACAAAACUUAUUUGGUUGCACAGACUUUCUUGAUUCAUUACGUCUUCUCAAAGGGGAGAAGAUAAAAGAGAUAGUUUCUUCAACACUUUUAAAUUUUAACAAUGGAGACUAUUCUACAUGGAGAAUUCAAAAUAAUACAAACUUGCAUAGGGGAGGCACUGGGGGAAAAGAGUGGAAAAAUUAAUUUAGUAGCACAAAAUAAAUUCAUGGCCCAUUUUUUUCAGUUUGUCAUCAGGGCAGAGUUGGAAUGCCAAAGAAGCAAAGAGGGUUUUCCUACAGUCUUUAACACUGCCGUCUUAUUUUCUGUCCCAAGUCAGUAUUUGCUAUCAAAGUGGGAUUUUUUUCCCUUAAUUUGUAAAUUUUCAUAUAACCAUUUUAUUAUCAAUUAUAAUUAAUUUGUAUUGCUUACUAUGCACUAACCAUUAUAUCAUCUAUUUUUUAUCAUUAAAAACUUUUCAUAGCAAGAAAAUACAAAUGACCAGAGCAUACAGAGCAUAGGGAAAGAGCAUAUAUUUGAAUAUAAGUGUACCUGAAUUCAAAACCUCUGCUCUUAACAACUACUUUAUUUGGCCUGUGAGGGCAAAAUGGAAAGAUUAAGUCAUAGAAAAAGUAUGAAAUCAAUCAACACUUAAGGAUACAAUUAUCAAAUACCCUUUAUUGAAGAGUUUCUUUAGAAAAGGGACAAGGUGCAUGUUAUUGAGAUUCAUGUGUAAACACUGACCUCAUAAGUACUCUUAAACUCUGUAGAUACAAAGUCACCACCUAUUGGCUCAUCUGUGUAUGUAGGAAGACACAUGGGAACAAUACAACAGUACAAUACAGUCCGAUACACAGAAUAAGGAAAACAUGCUCAGGUUCCUAUAGGAGCAUAAAGAUGUCUGAACUGUCUGGUGGGGUUAAGAAAAACCUUCCCUGAGAAAGCCAAUCUAUUCUGAUAGAAUUCUGAAGAGAAAAUUUCUAGAGAAAAUUUUCUAGAGCUGUGUAGUUGGAAGAGGAGGUUUGAGAAGAGAGAAAGAUUUUAAGGCAGAAAGAACAGAAUGUGAAAGGAAUGGAGGUAUGAAAAAGCAAGGUGCAUUUAAGAUGCAUGGUAGGAAGCUCCUUUAAAAGGGAGUGAAUGGAGAGGAGAUUUAAAAGGUGGGUAGAGCUAAAUCAUGGUCUUAUAUGUCAUAAAGAGUUUGGAAUCUAGGUUUUAGGCAUAUGGAGCUAUUGAAUGAAUUUAAACAGGGCAAUGAAUUGAACAAACUUGCAUUUAAGUUUACUUAAAUCUUAGUCUAAAAGCAGACUAAUUUAAAAUGUUGAUUUUAAAUUAAAACAAAGGAAGAAAGAGGAGGGGGAAGAAAGAAGAAGGAAGAGAGGUAUAGAGAAAAGGGAAGGAGAGAGAAAGUGUUGUCUUGUGCCAGUAGUGUGGGUUUGAUCACUGGGCUAGGAAAUUCCACAUGCCACAGUUGU